UGAGGAAUAUUGCGCAAUGGACGGAAGUCUGACGCAGCAACGCCGCGUGAGCGAUGAAGGCCUUCGGGUCGUAAAGCUCUUUUCUGAGGGACGAGGAAGGACGGUACCUCAGGAAUCAGUCUCGGCUAACUACGUGCCAGCAGCCGCGGUAAAACGUAGGAGGCAAGCGUUAUCCGGAUUUAUUGGGCGUAAAGCGCAUGCAGGUGGUGUCACAAGUCGGGUGUAAAAGCUCCUGGCUUAACUGGGAGAGGUCGCGCGAAACUGUGAGACUAGAGGUCGGAAGAGGGAAGCGGAAUUCCCGGUGUAGUGGUGGAAUGCGUAGAUAUCGGGAGGAACACCAGUGGCGGAAGCGGCUUCCUGGUCCGCACCUGACACUCAGAUGCGAAAGCGUGGGGAGCGAACG
rnacentral:rRNA from 1 species